GCGUUGGUUGUUUAGCUGUAAAAUUUUUGCCUUCCACGUGGAAGACCUGAGCUCGAUUCCUGGCCAAUGCA
rnacentral:tRNA from 1 species